GGCUAAGAGCGGGGCUCUACUCAGUCUUACUACCAGAGAAAUGUUGUGAAACAAUCCUUCUGAGUUAUCUGCCUACAAUAAGAUGGGGAAUUUCAAGAGGCUCUGCGUGCACAACUUCAGAUAAAACUGAAAAUGCAGAAUGUUUUCAAAUGGUUCCUCCAUAUUCU